UUGAACGCUGGCGGCAUGCCUUACACAUGCAAGUCGAACGGUAACAGGUUAAGCUGACGAGUGGCGAACGGGUGAGUAAUAUAUCGGAACGUGCCCAGUCGUGGGGGAUAACUGCUCGAAAGAGCAGCUAAUACCGCAUACGACCUGAGGGUGAAAGCGGGGGAUCGCAAGACCUCGCGCGAUUGGAGCGGCCGAUAUCAGAUUAGGUAGUUGGUGGGGUAAAAGCCUACCAAGCCAACGAUCUGUAGCUGGUCUGAGAGGACGACCAGCCACACUGGGACUGAGACACGGCCCAGACUCCUACGGGAGGCAGCAGUGGGGAAUUUUGGACAAUGGGCGCAAGCCUGAUCCAGCCAUGCCGCGUGCGGGAAGAAGGCCUUCGGGUUGUAAACCGCUUUUGUCAGGGAAGAAAAGGUUCUGGCUAAUAUCCGGGACUCAUGACGGUACCUGAAGAAUAAGCACCGGCUAACUACGU
rnacentral:rRNA from 1 species